rnacentral:lncRNA from 1 species
UACAUUUACAUACCUCGUCAGUAUUUUCUUCUUGUUGCACGACAAGUUGUUGCUCAGGGGCAUUGCCCUCUUGUUGCUCAGGGGCAUUGCCCUCUUGUUGCUCAGUAGGAUUGCCUUGCAUGAUGUCGUGGUAAUCAACGAAGUACUGACUACCGUCGUCGAUUAUAUUUUGAAUGGCAGCUUCCAUAUAAUCAGGAUCAUCAUGAGGACGGUCAGCCAUUUCUAUGUCUGCAACCAUACAUAUAUAUAUUCUAUAUAAGAUAAGAAAUACACUAAUACUACUACAAAUGAAAGUGUUGGAGUGCUCUAAAAAUAAUACUAGGAUCUUUUAAGCCAAGUAAUACAUUAGAAUAAAAAACAAUACUAGAAUAAUACAUACAUACAAAAAAUAUUACAUAUAUAUGUGUGUAUAUGUACAAAAAAUAAUAUACAUACAUACAAAAAAUAAUACAUAUAUAAAAAAUAGAACAUACAUACAUACUAUAUAUAUACUAGAAUAAUAUAUUAAAAAAAUAAUACAUACAUACAUACAUACAUACAAACAAUU